UACGGGGGGGGCAAGCGUUGUUCGGAAUUACUGGGCGUAAAGGGCGCGUAGGCGGCCUGCUAAGUCGGACGUGAAAUCCCUCGGCUCAACCGGGGAACUGCGUCCGAUACUGGCGAGGCUUGAAUCCGGGAGAGGGAUGUGGAAUUCCAGGUGUAGCGGUGAAAUGCGUAGAUAUCUGGAGGAAUACCGGUGGCGAAGGCGGCAUCCUGGACCAUAACUGACGCUGAGGCGCGAAAGCUAGGGGAGCAAACGGG
rnacentral:rRNA from 1 species